rnacentral:rRNA from 1 species
UACGUAGGGUGCGAGCGUUGUCCGGAAUUAUUGGGCGUAAAGAGCUCGUAGGCGGUCUGUCGCGUCGAUCGUGAAAACUUGGGGCUUAACCCUGAGCUUGCGGUCGAUACGGGCAUGACUGGAGUUCGGCAGGGGAGACUGGAAUUCCUGGUGUAGCGGUGAAAUGCGCAGAUAUCAGGAGGAACACCGGUGGCGAAGGCGGGGUCUCUGGGCCGAUACUGACGCUGAGGAGCGAAAGCGUGGGGAGCAAACAGG